AAGUAAAACGUGAAAAAUCAGGCCCACGUUUUCGGAGCUCAAGGAGAAAACGGAACGUGUCCAUGCGUACCUGCCCGAGAAAAGUAGUUCACAUAGGGACGACACGUUCUUCACAAGAGUUACAGCCGUAUUUUAAGAAAAGACUUGAAAUAUUGAACACAGCGAUCGUAUCUGGUCACAAUGGGUUAAAAUAUUCUCAGCACCCUGUAGACUGAGGCAGUAUGUUCCUCCAAAACAUUGGUACCUCAGGAGACCAGCACUGACACGACUACAUCAGCCAGCCUAAUCACAAGACAUGGAAACCUACAAUGAUAGCACCUAACCUCACAUUUAAAAUUAAAAUUGAUUAAAAGUGAAGAAUUGCAGAUCAGCUAAACCUACUCAUUAUGUGGGAAUUUCGUGAUGUAUUAACAUAAUCUAUGGGAAUCAAUUUACAGAAUGAUUUCUGUAUUUUGGAUAAGCAUUAGUCUAGUAACAUUACCCAAUAGCAAAACAAAUCUGCAAGUAAACACGAGGCUUUGAGAAAAUUUUUGGUUGAGUAGCAAAGACGUUGGGAUGGUGGAAAAGCAUAAACUGAAAGGCAUUUUAAAAGCAAAUCCCAAUUCCUGUUUCCAUGUAACAGGACCAUGUACAUGUAGGCUGUAUCACAAAAUGAUAUUUCAGGUUCUCAAGGUAGUGAGUGCGAAGAUGGCUGCCUUCUGGAAUGUACAUUUCAGAUUUGAGGUUAAGGUCAUAAUUAUUAAGAGGAGCACUGAAUUGUUGAUGUGUGGCUCAUGUUCAGAAGGGCGAAAAAUACCUGUUAAAGUACACCUACUUAUUUGACCAAGGAAAGAGCAGUACGUCAGACAGAAUAUUGCAGAAGGAGACGCCGAACGUCGGGAAGUACGGUUAUAAUGAAAUCAUAAUGAAUUUUAAAUACUUUCUUAAAUGUGGCAAGUAACGAAAAAAAUUCUGAAAGAUGUUUUAACACAACACAUGCAAAAUCUAACGCAGAACAUAAAUCUUUCCAGUAACACAGGAAACUACAAAUACAUGGGAUGUUGUUAAUUUUCUGAAGUAUAUUUAAUAUACAUGAUAUUUCAAGAGUUGGUUCUACUCCUGUCUUCAUGAAAUUGGGUCUCGUCAUGAAGAUGGCUGUCUGCUACACUGCACGGUGCAACAACCCACAAGACAGCCAUAUUCCUAUUUGCCACCGAGCGAAACUGAAAUCUCACUUGGUUUUCUUCAAACUGACAGUUGUCACUUGUCACUGACUCAUACGUCAUGUUUGGAGGGAAGAAGUAUGAAAAGGAAGAAUGCUUUCAAUUAAAAUCUAAUAUUUGGGUUGCUAAUGUAAAAAGUCCAUUAUAAAAC